GACGAACGCUGGCGGCGUGCCUAAUACAUGCAAGUCGUGCGGACUUGAAGAGAAGCUUGCUUCUCUGAUGGUUAGCGGCGGACGGGUGAGUAACACGUAGGCAACCUGCCUGUAAGACUGGGAUAACUACCGGAAACGGUAGCUAAUACUGGAUAGGAGAUUUUCUCGCAUGAGGUAGUCAAGAAAGACGGAGCAAUCUGUGACUUAAGGAUGGGCCGGCGGCGCAUUAGCUAGUUGGUGAGGUAAUGGCUCACCAAGGCGACGAUGCGUAGCCGACCUGAGAGGGUGAACGGCCACACUGGGACUGAGACACGGCCCAGACUCCUACGGGAGGCAGCAGUAGGGAAUCUUCCGCAAUGGACGAAAGUCUGACGGAGCAACGCCGCGUGAGUGAUGAAGGUUUUCGGAUCGUAAAGCUCUGUUGCCAGGGAAGAACGUCUUAGAGAGUAACUGCUCUAAGAGUGACGGUACCUGAGAAGAAAGCCCCGGCUAACUACGUGCCAGCAGCCGCAGUAA
rnacentral:rRNA from 1 species